CGGCGCGUAGCUUAAUCGGAAGAGCGCCGCACUUCUAUUGCGAGCGGUGAAGGUUCGAGUCCUUCCGCGCCGA
rnacentral:tRNA from 1 species